UUUCUGUGUUCUCCGUAGACCCGUGAGCAGAAACGGCCUCGGUAUGCAGAACGACGCCGGCGAGUUUGUGGACCUGUACGUGCUGCGGAAAUGCUCCGCGAGCAACCGCAUCAUUGCUGCCAAGGACCACGCGUCCAUCCAGAUGAAUGUGGCCGAGGUUGACAGGAGUACAGGCCGAUUUAAUGGUCAUUUUAAAACCUACGGCAUCGGCGGGGCCAUUUGCAGGAUGGGCGAGUCAGAUGAUUCUAUUCUCCGAUUGGCUAAGGCUGAUGGAAUUGUCUCAAAGAACUUUUGAGCCAGAAGAAAUCGGGAAUAAUUUGUUAUAAAUAAAAGUGAUAAUAAGUAAAAAAAAAAAAAAA
rnacentral:lncRNA from 1 species